rnacentral:rRNA from 1 species
UUAGUGGCGAACGGGUGAGUAACACGUGAGUAACCUGCCCCUGACUCUGGGAUAAGCGUUGGAAACGACGUCUAAUACUGGAUAUGACUUCCGGCCGCAUGGUCUGGUUGUGGAAAGAUUUUUUGGUUGGGGAUGGACUCGCGGCCUAUCAGCUUGUUGGUGAGGUAAUGGCUCACCAAGGCGACGACGGGUAGCCGGCCUGAGAGGGUGACCGGCCACACUGGGACUGAGACACGGCCCAGACUCCUACGGGAGGCAGCAGUGGGGAAUAUUGCACAAUGGGCGAAAGCCUGAUGCAGCAACGCCGCGUGAGGGAUGACGGCCUUCGGGUUGUAAACCUCUUUUAGUAGGGAAGAAGCGAAAGUGACGGUACCUGCAGAAAAAGCACCGGCUAACUACGUGCCAGCAGCCGCGGUAAUACGUAGGGUGCAAGCGUUGUCCGGAAUUAUUGGGCGUAAAGAGCUCGUAGGCGGUUUGUCGCGUCUGCUGUGAAAUCCCGAGGCUCAACCUCGGGCUUGCAGUGGGUACGGGCAGACUAGAGUGCGGUAGGGGAGAUUGGAAUUCCUGGUGUAGCGGUGGAAUGCGCAGAUAUCAGGAGGAACACCGAUGGCGAAGGCAGAUCUCUGGGCCGUAACUGACGCUGAGGAGCGAAAGCAUGGGGAGCGAACAGGAUUAGAUACCCUGGUAGUCCAUGCCGUAAACGUUGGGCGCUAGAUGUAGGGACCUUUCCACGGUUUCUGUGUCGUAGCU